AGGCCAGAUUUCUGUCUUGAUUAAGGCUUUGUUCCUUGAUAUAAAUAACUGCUCUUCUUCCUACAGUGCUUGCGAGAACAUUGUGAAACAGUUUGAGACCUUGCACUGCACCAUUCGGAACAAGGUUAUAAAGAUUUCAGACAAUC
rnacentral:snoRNA from 1 species